rnacentral:tRNA from 1 species
CGGGGUGUAGCGCAGCUUGGUUUAGCGCGCCUGCUUUGGGAGCAGGAGGUCGGGGGUUCGAAUCCCUCCACCCCGACCA